rnacentral:rRNA from 1 species
GGUCAGGAUGAACGCUAGCUACAGGCUUAACACAUGCAAGUCGAGGGGCAGCAUGAAGUUGCUGCAAACUUGAUGGCGACCGGCGCACGGGUGCGUAACGCGUAUCCAACCUGCCGUGUACUCCGGUAUAGCCCUCUGAAAGGAGGAUUAAUCCCGGAUGUGGUCGCAGGGGGACAUCCCCCCGCGAUUAAAGAUUCUAUCGGUACACCGAUGGGGAUGCGUACGAUUAGGUAGUAGGCGGGGUAACGGCCCACCUAGCCUUCGAUCGUUAGGGUUCUGAGAGGAAGGUCCCCCACACUGGAACUGAGACACGGUCCAGACUCCUACGGGAGGCAGCAGUGAGGAAUAUUGGUCAAUGGUCGGAAGACUGAACCAGCCAAGUAGCGUGAAGGAUGACUGCCCUACGGGUUGUAAACUUCUUUUAUAGGGGAAUAACCGCCGGCACGCGUGCCGGUCUGCAUGUACCCUAUGAAUAAGCAUCGGCUAAUUCCGUGCCAGCCGCCGC